GCACUGCUGGUGUAGUGGUAUCAUGUAAGAUUCCCAUUCUUGCGACCCGGGUUGGAUUCCCGGGCAGUGCA
rnacentral:tRNA from 1 species